CUGCUAUCUGCUGCUGGCGGAACUCAUCCUGGCAGGAAGUCACAUGUAACGUUGUUGCCAUGGCUACCUAUAAAAGAGGCAGCAAGGAUGUAGAAACAGAGUUCUCCAGCGCCUCCUGAAUCUUCUCUUCCCGCUCCUCGUUAGUCCAGUUAGCUGGGGUUGUCGGCCAAUCGAUGCCCAGAGCUCUGAGAAAGGCGAUGAUGUCGCUGUCUUCGGGAAGCGUGGGGCAAUAAGACACUGCAAAUCUGAGACAGAUCCAUCCAUUCUCAAGCCCCUUCUGUCAUGUUGGAAUGAACCCAAAGACUCACCCCUGUCUUCUCAACAGCGCCCCCAUGUGGUCAGCCAACAGAACAGUCCUCAGCUGA